GGACGCGCUGUCACUCUGGCUCCACCCCUGCUUCCUGAUUAGCGUCCCGGCCCCCCGGGUGCCGGCUCUCCGCACUUAGCACUUGGGAAUUCGGAUUCUCUUUUCUAGGGAAAGCUUCUCCCUCUUCACCCUCGGCUUUCCCCGCAGGUGAGGCCUCCAUGGAGCGGUUCCUGGCCCAGCUGUGCGGUACCAGCGCGCUGCAGCCGCUCCCAGUGUGGGAGGGGGACACCACCGGCCACUGCUUCACCCAGCUGGUGCUCAGCGCCCUGCCCCACGCGCUCCUCGCCGUGCUCAGUGCCUGCCACUGGGGCAACCCGAGGAAUCCAGAUUGGAUCCCACACCGCAGUCCCGGCUGGCGCCUCCGACUCACAGCCUCCUUCCUGCUCUCCAUCUUUCCACUGCUAGACCUCCUUCCAGUCGCUUUGCCACCAGGGGCAGGCCCAGGGCCCGUAGGACUAGAGGUGCUGGCAGGGGGCAUGGCGGCUGUGGCCUGGAUCAGCCACAGCAUGGCCCUGUGGGUGUUGUCUCAUUCCCCUCAUGGCCGCUCCCGGGGGCCCUUGGCCUUGGCCCUGGCUGCCUUCCUGCCAGCCCCAGCCCUAGUGCUGACCCUGCUAUGGCACUGCCAACGAGGCACACUUCUGCCCCCCCUUCUCCCAGGGCCUCUCUCCCGCCUGUGCCUCAUCAUCCUGCAACUGGCUGUACUCUUAGCCUAUGGCCUGGGUUGGGCAGUCCCUGGGAAGCCACGGGAACCCUGGGCCCAGGAGCCCCUCCUGCCUGAGGGACAGGAAGCCGAAGUAGCUGAAGAUGGAGAGAGCUGGCUGUCACGCUUUUCUUACGCCUGGCUGGCACCAUUGCUGGCCCGUGGGGCCCGCAGGGAACUCCGGCAGCCCCAGGACACGUGCCGCCUCCCCCGCCGGCUGCACCCAACCUACCUAGCCCAUAUCUUCCAGGCACACUGGCAGGAGGGGGCCCGGCUGUGGAGGGCCCUGUAUGGGGCCUUUGGGCGGUGCUACUUGGCUCUUGGACUGCUGAAGCUGGUGGGGACCAUGCUGGGAUUCUCUGGACCCUUGCUGCUGUCCCUGCUGGUGGGCUUCCUGGAGGAGGGGCAGGAGCCACUAAGCAACGGCCUGCUCUAUGCCCUGGGGCUGGCUGGUGGAGCUGUUCUGGGCGCCGUGCUGCAGAAUCAGUACGGGUACGAGGUACAGAAGGUGACGCUUCAGGCACGGGGGGCUGUGCUGAACAUCCUGUACCGAAAGGCAUUACAUCUGGGGCCCAGACGCCCUCCUGUAGGGGAGGUCCUGAACCUACUAGGCACCGACUCUGAGCGGCUCCUCAACUUCGCCGGGAGCUUCCACGAGGCCUGGGGCCUGCCUCUGCAGCUGGCCAUCACCCUCUACCUGCUGCACCAGCAGGUGGGUGUGGCCUUUGUGGGUGGGCUGAUCCUGGCCCUGCUGCUGGUACCUGUCAACAAAGUGAUUGCCACCCGCAUCAUGGCCAGCAACCAGGAGAUGCUCCAGCACAAGGACGCGCGGGUUAAGCUUGUGACAGAGCUGCUGAGUGGCAUUCGUGUCAUCAAGUUCUUCGGGUGGGAGCAGGCGCUGGGGGCCCGCGUAGAGGCCUGCCGAGCUCGAGAGCUGGGGCGACUCUGGGUCAUCAAGUACCUGGAUGCGGCCUGUGUGUACCUGUGGGCUGCCCUGCCUGUCGUCAUCUCCAUCGUCAUCUUCAUCACCUAUGUUCUCAUGGGGCACCAGCUCACUGCCACCAAAGUGUUCACGGCCCUGGCGCUGGUGCGCAUGCUCAUCCUUCCCCUCAACAACUUCCCUUGGGUGAUCAACGGCCUCCUGGAGGCCAAAGUGUCCCUGGACCGGAUCCAGCGUUUCCUUGACCUUCCCAACCACAACCCCCAGGCCUACUACAGCCCAGAUCCCCCAACCGAUCCAACUGCGGCCUUAGAGCUCCAUGAAGCCCUGUUCUCCUGGGACCCAGCUGGAACCAGCCAGGAGACCUUCAUCAGUCACCUCCAAGUGAAGAAGGGGAUGCUGGUGGGCAUCGUGGGGAAGGUGGGCUGCGGGAAGAGCUCGCUGCUGGCCGCCAUCUCUGGGGAGCUCCACAGGCUGCGUGGGCAGGUGGCGGUGUGGGAGCUGUCCAGAGGCUUUGGCCUGGCCACCCAGGAACCCUGGAUCCAGUUUGCCACCAUCCGAGACAACAUUCUCUUUGGGAAGAUGUUUGAUGCUCAGCUGUACAAGGAAGUGCUAGAGGCCUGCGCCCUCAACGAUGACCUCAGCAUCCUGCCUGCAGGAGACCAGACAGAGGUGGGGGAGAAGGGCGUGACCCUCAGCGGGGGACAGCGGGCCCGCAUCGCCCUUGCUCGCGCCGUCUACCAGGAGAAGGAGCUCUAUCUCCUCGAUGACCCCCUGGCCGCCGUGGAUGCAGAUGUGGCCAGCCACCUGCUGCACAAGUGCAUCCUGGGAGCGCUGGGCCACACCACGCGGCUGCUCUGCACCCACCGCACCGAGUACCUGGAGAAGGCUGACGUGGUGCUGCUGAUGGAGAACGGGCGCCUCGUCCAGGCCGGGCCCCCCUCUGAGAUCCUGCCAUUGGUACAAGCUGUCCCCAAAGCCUGGGCUGAGGAUGGACAAGAGUCUGACCCAGCCACAGCCCAGUCAGUACAGACCCCAGAGAAGACAAAGGAGGGGCUGGAUGUGGAGGGGAGCACGUCUGACCGCCUGCUGCAGGACGAAAGCAAGAAGGAGGGCGCCGUGGCCUUCCAUGUGUACCGGGCGUACUGGAGAGCCAUGGGCCCGGGCCUGGCCCUCGCCAUCCUCUUCUCUCUGCUCCUCAUGCAAGCCACCAGGAACGCCGCGGACUGGUGGCUCUCCCACUGGAUCUCUCAGCUGAAGGCAGCCAAGAAUAACUCCCAGGAGGCGCCAGCCCCUAGCAGUCUGAACUCUGAAGGGCUGCUCUCUGCCCAGCUGCUCCUCUUCUCCCCUGGAAGCCUCUACACCUCGGUGUUGCCACUGCCCAAAGCUGCCCCCAAUGGCUCCUCAGACAUCCGUUUCUACCUCACCGUGUAUGCGACCAUUGCUGGUGUCAACUCCUUCUGCACCCUUCUCCGGGCAGUGCUCUUUGCGGCGGGCACCCUCCGAGCAGCCGCCACCCUGCAUCGCCGCCUGCUGUGUAGAGUCCUUAUGGCACCAGUGACUUUCUUCGACUCCACACCCACGGGCCGGGUCCUCAACCGCUUCUCCUCUGACGUGGCCUGUGCGGAUGACAGCCUGCCCUUCAUCCUCAACAUCCUCCUGGCCAACACGGCGGGGCUGCUGGGCCUCCUAGUCGUGCUGGGCUCCGGCCUGCCCUGGCUGCUGCUGCUGCUGCCACCCCUGAGCGCCAUCUACUACCGUGUGCAACGCCACUACCGAGCAUCCUCGCGGGAGCUGCGGCGCCUGGGCAGCCUCACCCUGUCCCCUCUCUACACCCACCUGGCCGACACCUUGGCUGGCCUCCCUGUGCUCCGGGCCGCCGGGGCCACCUACAGGUUUGAGGAGGAGAACCAGAGGCUCCUGGAGCUCAACCAGAGGUGCCAGUUUGCCUCCAGUGCCACCAUGCAGUGGCUGGACAUCCGGCUACAGCUCAUGGGGGCCACCGUGGUCAGUGCCAUUGCAGGCAUCGCCCUGGUGCAGCACCAGCAGGGCCUCGCCAACCCAGGUCUGGUGGGCCUGUCGCUAUCCUACGCCCUGUCCCUGACGGGCCUGCUCUCGGGGUUGGUGAGCAGCUUCACGCAGACAGAAACCAUGCUCGUGAGCGUCGAGCGGCUGGAGGAGUACUCCUGUGACCUGCCCCAGGAGCCCCGGGGCCAGUGGCCGCAGCUGGGCAUCAGCUGGCUGAGCCAGGGGAGCGUGGAGUUCCAGGAUGUGGUGCUGGUGUACCGGCCAGGGCUGCCCAACGCCCUGGAUGGGGUGACCUUCCGCGUGCAGCCUGGAGAGAAGCUGGGCAUCGUGGGCCGCACGGGCUCCGGCAAGUCUUCCCUGUUGUUGGUGCUCUUCCGGCUGCUGGAGCCCAGCUCCGGGCGAGUGCUGCUGGACGGCGUGGACACAAGCCAGCUGGAGCUGGCCGAGCUCAGCUAAAACCUAUGCUGGAAGCAGAAGUGGCCACAUCUCCAGCCUAGACUCCCUGUCCUGCCUCCCCUGAUCCCUCAGAUCCCAGCUGGCCAUCAUCCCCCAGGAGCCCUUUUUGUUCAGUGGGACCGUUCGGGAAAACCUGGAUCCCCGAGGCCUGUAUGAGGACAGAGCCCUGUGGCAAGCCUUGGAGCAGUGCCACUUGAGUGGGGUGCUCAGAUCUAUGGGUGGUCUGGAUGCUGAGCUGGGUGAGGGGGGCCGGAGUUUAUCUCUGGGGCAGAGGCAGCUGCUGUGUCUGGCCAGGGCUCUCCUCACAGAUGCCAAGAUCUUGUGUAUCGAUGAGGCUACAGCGAGUGUGGACCAGAAGACAGACCAGCUGCUCCAGCAGACCAUCUGCCAACGCUUUGCCAACAAGACAGUGCUGACCAUUGCCCACAGGCUCAACACAAUCCUGAACUCAGACCGGGUGCUGGUGCUACAAGCGGGGAGGGUGGCAGAGCUGGAUUCCCCUGCCGCCCUGCGUAGCCAGCCCCACUCGCUGUUCCAGCAGCUGCUGCAGAGCAGCCAGCAGAGAGCCCGCCCCCUUCCCUGAGGGCCCCAAGCCUCGACCCCAAGGGCCUCCCUCUGGCCCCCCUGCUGCAGGGCAGCGCAGGGACAACACCACUUGUUUACAGUCUCUUCUGUGGCUCUACCUCUCCCUCACUUCCGCAGAGGGGACAAGGGUACAAACUACUCCCCCUGGGUGCAGGGUCCCACGGCUGCCCCAGAAGCUGCCCUCUGCUCUGGGCCUCUUGCAUCUGGAACUCCAGGCAGGUUUUUCUGGCAAAGGCGCCCACGUGCACUUCUGUAGUUUUAUUUGAUAAAAUUCCCAUCUUACAUUCUGUGUGUUAAAAAAAUAAUAUUUCUGGCA